rnacentral:rRNA from 1 species
UACGUAGGGUGCGAGCGUUAAUCGGAAUUACUGGGCGUAAAGCGUGCGCAGGCGGUUCGUUGUGUCGGUGGUGAAAGCCCCGGGCUUAACCUGGGAAUGGCCGUCGAAACUGGCGAACUGGAGUGUGGCAGAGGGGGGUGGAAUUCCGCGUGUAGCAGUGAAAUGCGUAGAGAUGCGGAGGAACACCGAUGGCGAAGGCAGCCCCCUGGGCUGACACUGACGCUGAGGAGCGAAAGCCAGGGGAGCAAACGGG